AUUGAACGCUGGCGGCAGGCCUAACACAUGCAAGUCGAACGGUAACAGGAAACAGCUUGCUGUUUCGCUGACGAGUGGCGGACGGGUGAGUAAUGUCUGGGAAACUGCCUGAUGGAGGGGGGUAACUACUGGAAACGGUAGCUAAUACCGCAUAACGUCGCAAGACCAAAGAGGGGGACCUUCGGGCCUCUUUCCUUCGGAUGUGCCCAGAUGGGAUUAGCUAGUAGGUGGGGUAACGGCUCACCUAGGCGACGAUCCCUAGCUGGUCUGAGAGGAUGACCAGCCACACUGGAACUGAGACACGGUCCAGACUCCUACGGGAGGCAGCAGUGGGGAAUAUUGCACAAUGGGCGCAAGCCUGAUGCAGCCAUGCCGCGUGUAUGAAGAAGGCCUUCGGGUUGUAAAGUACUUUCAGCGGGGAUGAAGGGAGUAAAGUUAAUACCUUUGCUCAUUGACGUUACCCGCAGAAGAAGCACCGGCUAACUCCGUG
rnacentral:rRNA from 1 species